rnacentral:misc_RNA from 1 species
GUUUUAUCGUUGCCUCUUUGAGUGUAGUGUACCAUGAGGAGAAGAUCAAUAACAUUUCCUUAAGGUUCACAUGUUCAAUGUUUAUCGUAGUUCUGUAUAGUGUUUAUGAAUUUCAAGUCUUUGUUCUUUUGGUUCUGAGAUCCUUGAAUUUGUAUUUUUACAGGCAUUAGAAGCCAACUUUGUUACAUCAACAAGCAGGAUAUGGCCUUAGAACAGCUGGACACUACCUUUAACAAACACGAUACUCCAUUAGGGAAAUGGAAGACAAUGAACGAUGAAGUUGAAGAGAAUAUUUCUGGUGGUUUUGAAUGUAACAUAUGCCUGGAUCUCGUCCAUGACCCUGUGGUAACUUUAUGUGGUCACCUCUACUGUUGGCCUUGCAUCUACAAAUGGAUUCAUUUCCAGAGUGUUCCCUCAGAAAAUUUGGAUCAGCAGCAACCACAGUGCCCUGUAUGCAAGGCUGAAGUUUCAGAAAGAACUUUGAUUCCACUCUAUGGACGCGGUGGCCAAUCUACCAAACCAUCUGAAGGAAAGGCUCCGAAUCUUGGUAUAGUGAUCCCACAAAGACCUCCUAGUCCAAGAUGCGGCGGUCACUUGCUGAUACCAACUACCGAUUCAAGUCCAUCCCAUCUACUUCAACGACGAAAUCAUCAACAACAGUCUCAAACACGCCAAUCGCCUUAUCAACCACAAAGCGCCUCACCAGGCACCACAGUUAAUAUGUUACAACCCUCCAUGAUUGGACAAGUGGCCUAUGCAAGAAUCUUUGGUAACUCAUCAACUCUGUAUACAUACCCAAAUUCUUACAAUCUAGCCAUCAGCAGUAGUCCAAGAAUGAGAAGGCAAUUAUCACAGGCUGAUAGAUCACUUGGGAGAAUAUGUUUUUUCCUAUUUUGUUGCUUUGUGACAUGUCUAAUCUUGUUUUGAACACUUUGUCUGUUGCUUCUACUUUGUAAAAAAGAAGAUAUGAUGUUGUAGUAGAUAAGAAAAUGUACAGCCUCAGCUAAAUGUGUAAAAAAAUCAUAGAAGCAUUUGCUUUCUUUGAUUGUUGAUAAAACACACUUGGAAUUUGAGUGCUUGAAGAUUUGAACCCUUUUUU